GACGAAGGUCCCAAGCGUUGUUCGGAAUCACUGGGCGUAAAGGGUGCGUAGGCGGCGCGGAAAGUCGGAUGUGAAAGCCCUGGGCUCAACCCAGGAAGUGCAUUCGAAACUUCCAAGCUCGAGUCCUGGAGAGGAAAGCGGAAUUCUCGGUGUAGAGGUGAAAUUCGUAGAUAUCGAGAGGAACACCGGUGGCGAAGGCGGCUUUCUGGACAGUGACUGACGCUGAGACGCGAAAGCGUGGGGAGCAAACAGG
rnacentral:rRNA from 1 species